ACAAACUCAGCCACUCUCUCCUUCUUCCCUACGAACGGCGCCUCUCUUCAAAGUAAACGGCCACCGUGGUGGUGGCCCUGGAAACUAGUCCUAAACCAAACUCAACACCUCAAUCUUCCCUCCAGACCACAAACCCUAAGUUAAAACUCACCAAACCGACCCCUAAACAACGCGAAUAACCCUCGUCCCUUCAUCAACUUCUAUAUCCGGCGAACUACUACGACAGGAACCAACGGCAAGGGUGCAAACAACUCACCACAAAUUCACCCAACUCUGGCGACAGUGGUUCUCCUUCAGCGACACUCGAACAGACCAGGUACGCACCUAUCCCUUUCCUUUGGUUUGGUUUUGCUUGAUGGUGGAUAACGAUGAUGGGUUUCGAUUGGUUUGCUUUAGGUUAUUUUGUGUUUUUUUCGUUGAAUCCCCUCAACAAUGAUCCUUUUGUUUAUUUGGAAUUGAUGUUAAAAUAAAAUGAAAGAACUCACGAAAGAAUCGUAAAGAUAGCUUCGAAAAUCAAACUCUAGCUUUUAUUUUCUGUGAAAAAAAUGAGAAUGAUUAUAUCCUUUUUUCUGUUACAAUGAAUCUGCUCACAAUGUAAUCCUCUCCCCCCUGAUGAUCGUGAAAACCCUCCCUGUGGUAAUUGUUUUCUUUUCUUGCUUGUGUGAUUCCCCCCUCUGAUGUUCGUGACUGAUCGUAUUAUACCCCCAUAGUCUCUUUUGAAAUCAAAAACCAAUUCUGUCGGUUAUGGGCUCGAGCAAAGUGAUUAUGGACGGCAGUGGUGGCUUCGGUGAGUGGCCGACAAGCGUUGGUCUUCACGAGGGGCAUGGACAGCAUGGGUGGUCGUGCUGAUGGGCGAGUGCCGUCGGGCGUGAUGCUCCACGCCAAGGUUGGAAAUGGCACCAGCAUGGGCAGCAAAGAAUGGUCUUCACGUGGGCAGCAUGUGCUACUAUUGUGGGUGAUCAAACCGGGUUGGAUCGGGCUCCAAUCGGUCAAACUUGGGCCUACUCUUGUAAUUAAUUUGGGUUUGUAAAGGGACCUUAAACACUUUAAUUUGAGUUUGGG